rnacentral:lncRNA from 1 species
CCUGGACUUUAUUUGGGAAGCUGAGAAUGGAAGAGAAACAAAAGAGUUUCUAAGGCCCUUUGGAAAUCAAGUAGAAGCCAAACUAAGGCUGUGUUGUUCCUCAAAGUAUAGCAUGGGAUCUCCUAAGGAGUGAGAUGAAAUUUAUUCCAAUCCUGAGUGCUUGAAAAUACCUAACUUGGAAAUGAUGCCUCUGGUGAGGAACCCUGAG